UCUAUCUGCCACGCAACCGUCGCCGCCUGCUGCCCCACUCCCUCCUUCUUGCCCCCUUCCCACAGCCAUGGGCCGGUUCGACCGUAGGCCCUGCAAGCCGCGCCGUGUCCCAGAGCGUCUUCCUGCCCCCUUCAUGCAGCCAUGGGGCGGCUCGACGGUAGCCAGUGCCAGCCGCGCCGUGUCGCAGAGCGCCCUACAGCCGGUGGAAGACCCGGCGGUGCCCGCCCCCAUCGCCUCGAUCUGGAGGAGGAGGAUAUGGAGGCCCCCGUCGCCGGCCGCCUCACUGCCGACGAGAAGGAGGUCUCCUGCUUUUGCGAUGUGUGUCGUUCGUGGCCGCAAUGGUGAGCUGCACAUGGCCGACCACAGAAGGGAUUUCUUCGCGCCGUCGUCUUGCCGGUACGAUUUUCUCCGUGCCGCCGCUGAAGAAGACCAUACUGAUGUUCUGAUUUUCCUGAGAAAAAACAGUGUCAUGGCCUAACUUCCUUGAUUAUCAGUGUCACGGCCUUCUUCCACAGCUUCAGCACCGGCGGCGACUCGUGGAGCAGAGGAACCCAGUCCUCCUCCACCUCGGGCAUGGCGGCCUGGCUGUGCCUGUGCGGGACGCUGAACGGAACCAAGAGGGCUUGGCGGAGGAGCGGUCGGCCCGGGCUGCACAAGGCCAUGCGCUCCACGUCCAAGCUCAGGGACAUCUCUGUUGUGAGAUGCACUCCGCGUUCAAGGAUCUGAGGCGCUGCUAUAUUAUCUUCUGGAAGCUCCAGUCCAUACCAACGCUGCAACCAUGCCGUCCAAUGCCUGAACAAAUGCCGUCCAAUGCCUGAUCAUGUUUCUCAUGACAUUGGGGAACUGGGUGUAUUUGAGUACUAACUCAGUAUGCCUUUUUUCUGCUAUGUUUCUUAGUGCCCUUUGACCCCUCUCUACAAUUGGUGUGUAUCAGACUAUAAAUGCGUCUUUUUGCAGUAACUUCUCGUUUUUUCGGUAUGCUUAUAUGAACAACCUUUUCUGUAGCGAUAAAUAUUUCCUUUGUACUAAUUUCUCCAGUUGUCAUUUUGAACAUGCGUAGGACAAAUAAAAAAUGUUUCUUCGACACUUGCUUUCAUGCAUCUUUCGCUCCAUGGCAGCGAUUUUUCUUUAAUUUGUGUAGACACAUCAAGCUCAAAAGUGAGUUUUCAGGAACCUACCUGUUUCAUGAUUAAAUCUAAAUACCACUGGGUUUCUUACCUGCAGGUUUUAAAACAGAAGUGACGAUGGAAGUCAGGUGAUUUAUUAUGUGUUCAGAAAGAGACCACAGCUUGGGAAACACAAUGAAAGAUUAUGUACCAAAUAAUUGCAUCGGUCAUUUUAGAGGAAGGAAGGGUCAAUCUAAACAUUAGAGAUGUUUAUCGUUGAUGAUGUACGAAAGACAUACAGAUCAACAUACCAUGCAUGCAACAUUGGAUACCGGAGGCACAGUAGCUACGCCCACUAAGGGUAUCACACAAACAAUCCAGUCAGACCUAGGAGAGUUACCAUGAAUAGGCCCACACUGACGUCUUCCGUCAACAAGGAGACGAGAUCAACAACCAAAUGACGAGAAGAGGAAGAACUCGGGGCCAGCGGCAGGAUUGGGUAAAAAGAGCUACUUGGUCUGGCAGAUAAUAAACAUCGAGUUGCUUAUACCGCGUGUUGCUCUGGUGGAAGGGUGUUCCUUCCUAUUUACCCCAGCUAGCAGUCUCCUAUGGCUGAGUUAAUUCAUUUCUCAUGGUGGUGUUUAGUCAAAUUGGUUUACGUUAUUUCCAUGAUUUUAUUUAUAUAGGUGGGACUAGGUUUCAGUUCAUUCUCUGAUUGUGUCAUGUUCUACCGUGGAGUUUCUUAUGGUAGCAGCACUACCCGUAGUUUAUUUUGAUGGUUAACUCUGAGAUGUAAAUAUUAGUGAUGAUGUGUACUGAAGCAUUCUUUAAUCAAUCAUUCUAUAAUGUUUGGUCAUCCACUA